AUUGAACGCUGGCGGCAGGCCUCACACAUGCAAGUCGAGCGAGCGGCGGACGGUAGAGUAAUGUAUGGGGACUGCCCGAUAGAGCGGGAUAACUACUGGCCACGGUAGCUAAUACCGCAUACUAUCGGAUAACCCAUAUGGGAUAAGCUAGUAGGUGAGGUAAUGGCUCACCUAGGCGACGAUCCCUAGCUGAUCUGAGAGGAUGAUCAGCCACACUGGGACAGGGACACGGCCCAGACUCCAACGGAGGCAGCAGUGAGAAAUAGUGCACAAUGGGCGCAAGCCUGAUGCAGCCAUGCCGCGUGUAUGAAGAAGGCCAUAGGAUUGUAAAGUACUUUCAGUAGGGAGGCGUUACCGACAGAAGAAGCACCGGCUAACUCCGUGCCAGCAGACGCGGUAAUAC
rnacentral:rRNA from 1 species